CAAGUCGAGCGGAUGAAGGGAGCUUGCUCCUGGAUUCAGCGGCGGACGGGUGAGUAAUGCCUAGGAAUCUGCCUGGUAGUGGGGGAUAACGUCCGGAAACGGGCGCUAAUACCGCAUACGUCCUGAGGGAGAAAGUGGGGGAUCUUCGGACCUCACGCUAUCAGAUGAGCCUAGGUCGGAUUAGCUAGUUGGUGGGGUAAAGGCCUACCAAGGCGACGAUCCGUAACUGGUCUGAGAGGAUGAUCAGUCACACUGGAACUGAGACACGGUCCAGACUCCUACGGGAGGCAGCAGUGGGGAAUAUUGGACAAUGGGCGAAAGCCUGAUCCAGCCAUGCCGCGUGUGUGAAGAAGGUCUUCGGAUUGUAAAGCACUUUAAGUUGGGAGGAAGGGCAGUAAGUUAAUACCUUGCUGUUUUGACGUUACCAACAGAAUAAGCACCGGCUAACUUCGUGCCAGCAGCCGCGGUAAUACGAAGGGUGCAAGCGUUAAUCGGAAUUACUGGGCGUAAAGCGCGCGUAGGUGGUUCAGCAAGUUGGAUGUGAAAUCCCCGGGCUCAACCUGGGAACUGCAUCCAAAACUACUGAGCUAGAGUACGGUAGAGGGUGGUGGAAUUUCCUGUGUAGCGGUGAAAUGCGUAGAUAUAGGAAGGAACACCAGUGGCGAAGGCGACCACCUGGACUGAUACUGACACUGAGGUGCGAAAGCGUGGGGAG
rnacentral:rRNA from 1 species